UUAUUAUUGCCCCUAGAUCCUCAGGCUUGGAGACUAAGGAAGACCCUAGUGAGCACAGUACGCGUGCUGACUGAUAGUUCAUUCACACUUUCGUUUCCUAGGUGCCACAGCGUGCGUUGCUGAUGAACAGGGGCAUCUGAAAGUCUGUUGGUAGUCUAUGACCUCUGACAGCUGCAGCUCUUCUAUCAAGCCCCGUCUUGGUGACACUGUACGGAGACAGAUGGGCAGGAAGAAAACAUGCUUGAGAUGUAGGGUGUGCCUGUGCAGCACAUCCUGGGGUACCCUUUUAGUCUGGACAGCCUCAAGGAUUGUACUGGCUGUGGACAAGGGAUGGGGAAUCCUGGCUGUGUGUUAGGAGGUGGGGACCCAACAAGAAUUCCCUUCAUUGUGUUCACAUCACCACAACGGAUGAGGAUUGGUAAGAGCAAGAGACAACAGAAACAACAUCCAGAAAAGACAGCCCAGGCCAUCCAGCUUUUGUGUAUAGAGAUUCCUACAGAAUCAAACCAAAGGCAAAGUCCUGCUCCAUGAUAUGAAGCCCAUGCCUGGCACUGUGAUAGGGCUAUGAACCUACAUCUAGAUACAAUGAUGCAGAUGCACCUAUGAACUCACAGCGACUUUGACAGCAUGCAAAACACCCGAGCAAGCUCAAGCCAGACAACCCCAGCACAGAAUGGAGGAGGUUUGGGAGACACACCCACCCCUCUGAGCAUGUCUGCAAUGGUGUCCAGAGAAGACUUUCUAAGGAAGAAGGACCUACUCUGCCUGUGAACAGCACCAGUCUGUAGGCUGACUAAAAAGAAGAAAGCCAUUUUCCCCUUGAGCGGAGCACCAGCUUUGUUCUUCCUCUGUCCAGAUGGGAGAAAGACCCUGCUGCCUUCCCAUGGGUGUGAUGGGACGAGCCCUGAAUUGCAAGAGCGAAGUUAAAAGCAUCUUCUGGGGACAAGAUGUCUCUCCUCUUUGCUCCUCAGCCAGCAUCUCUGAAGAGAAGUCAUGGUCCAUUACCAAAGUGGAAAAUCUUCACAGCUGCUGCUCUGAGGAACAAUCAACUAAGAAGAAGCACAGCCCAGUGGAAGGAACCUUAAGCCAGUGGUGCAAUCCAACUCUGCCAUUCAUGAGCUGAGCCAGUCUCUCAACCUCUCCUGACUUCCUUUUCCAUAUGCACUUAGUGACAAAGGUGGAGAGGCAUAGUGACAGGGGUCUGGAUGAAAGGGUGAGGGUCCUGAGAUGACAGAAGACAGUUUUUAACAGGAAUCACUGUGAAAGGUGAUGGGCAGGUAUUGCAAAGAGUGCCUUCCAAAUGAGGCAGUCUGAGGAGAUCUGUGAGCCUGUCCUUUCACUGACCCUGUCUGACAGGCCAAGCAUAGGCUCAGGAAAACAGCAGAGGGAGAGGGUAGGGCUCUGCCAUGGAAGAGCUUACAGCAUUUCCAUCGUGGGUCAGGGAAGUGGAUAUUGAUAAUGUCAUGGGAUAUGUAGUUAAUACAGUGAAGAAGAGAGACAGUCAUCCCUCAGUGUUCAUGAAGGGCCUGCCAUUGAUCAGAACUUCCUGUGAACAUCAGAACCUUGGGUGAUGUAUCCCAUAACAAGGUGAGGAGUGUGUGUGAACAGAACCUGUAUGUUUGAACUUGCAUCUAGAGCAUUUAUUGUACCCAGACACAUGAAUGCUGUAAAAGUGAAAAGUCAAGAAAAUGUCUAGCUAUGUUCAGUACAGAUACAAAUCUUUAGAGAAGUUUAACCUUCAGUCAGUCGGACUCUUGGAUGCAAGCUUAAGGACACACUUGGUAACUGCAGGUGAGGGUCACAGAUGAUGUGGCAAACAAGAUGAGAGUUCAGGAAAAACCUGUUCAAAAGGUGUUUGCUGAGGAUAUGGAUUAGUGGUUAAAAGCACUGGCUGCUCUUCUGGAGGACCCAGGUUCAAUUCCAGUACUCACACGGUAGCUCACAGCUAUCUGCAAAUCCAGUUCUAGGGGGUCUGACACCACCAUCUGGCUUCUGCUGACACUUUACAUACAUGGAUCUCAUAGAUGCAUACAGGCAAAAUCAUAUACAAAAAACUAAAUUUUAAAACAGUAUUUAUUUUAUGUGUAUGAAUAUUACUUGAAUGGUAAGCCAUACACUACCCACAGAGGCCAUAAGAGGACAUCAGAUCCCUGGGAACUAGAGUUAGAGGUAACCAAAUUAUCUUAUGGGUUUCAACAACCCAACCUGGGUCCUCUACAAGUGUUCCUAACUGUUGAGCCAUCUCCCCAGCUCCUAGAGAAGACCUUCCUGGCUAGGGCCUCGGCAUUUCCCCCAGAAGACUCCUGUAGCAAUCUCUCCCACCUUCACUGAAACUGUUUGACAGCAACCAGCUUCACUGUCAAAAACUGAUCUGGAGGCAUAAGCCAAUGCAAUUAGACAAGGAAAAAAUAAGAGGAAAGUGUAUUAGAAAAGAGGAAGCAAAUUUAGUAUGAUUUGUAAAUGAUUUGAUCAUAUGCCCAAAAAAACUUUAGGAGGAAAAAAAUGCAUUUGAAUAGAUUCUUGUACAAACCACAGAGGAUUAAGAAAAUAUUCCGGAAGAAAAAAAUGUCAUUUGUAGUAAGAAUAAAAGGAUUUAAAAAGAAACCCAUCCAAGAAUAAAUUUACAAGUACAGUACAAGAUUGUUCUAAAAAGAAAACAAUGUUAAGCCUCUGGUUAGAAAUCUCCAUGAUACUAAAAUCAGUUAAAAGAUACAUAGUCUUUCAGUGUUGUGAAGAUUUUAUCAUUCUCAUUCAGAGCAAUUCUGACCAAAGUGUCAGCACAACUUCUUUUGACUAAACAAACAUAUUCUAUAGUUUAUCUGGGAAAAAAAAGUAGGCAAAAAUAACCUGGAAUAUAAUAGAGAAAGCCAAGAGUGGUGCUCUACCAGAUUUUCAAAUUUAUCUGUCCUAACCCUAACAACUAGAGCAGCUGAGUGCAUUAUAGGCAACCAUUCACAAAGCAGAAUAGAACCGAGGGUGAGCCUGGAUACAUAUUGAAAUGUAUAUAUUAUGUAUAUACAUGUUGAAAUGUACAGACUCUAACAGUAAGCCUCAAACAAGUAAUUUUAAAACAAAAUGGUCAUUCAAUAAGUGCAAUUGCAAUAUGGGUAAGAGGGACUAACUUGAAAGCCUACAUCACAGGUUACAUCAAAAUAAAUUCCAGAACUUAAAAUUUCAAUGAAAGCCAUAUACUUUAAGUUCUUGAGGAUAGAAAAUGGCUUAGUAGUUAAGAGUGGCUCCAGCUCUUGCAGAGAACCUAUGUUUGGUUCUCAGUACCCCAGUAGGGUGGCUUUGAACCACCUGUAACUCCAUCUCCAAGAGAUCCGAGGCCCUCUUUUCUCUCUCUCUCUCUCUCUCUCUCUCUCUCUCUCUCUCUCUCUCUCUCUCUCUCCCUCCCUCCCUCUCUCUCUCUCUCUCUCUCUCUCUCUCUCUCUCUCUCUCUCUCUCUGACACACACACACACACACACACACACACACACACACACACACUCUUAAAAAACCAAACUAUCUAGAAAUAUCUAGAAGGAGAGGCUAAGGAUUCAGUGCAGUGGUAGGGAAGUUGCCCAGCAUGCUCAAAGGUCUGGUUUUGAUGAUACUUAACACCAUGAAGAGAGAAAUUCCACAUAAUGCUUUUACAAAUAAUCUUCAGAUAGUGAUUCUCUCAAAAUAUAGCCUAAGACCUACCAAUCCCUGAAAUAUUGAUCAUGCUUUUAAAAGUUCACUGACAGGUAAAAAUGAUAAUAAUAUAGAGAAUGCCAAAAAUAAGCAGUAAACAUAUCUAUACUAUAUCUAUUUAUAUCUAUAAAUUCAGUGAGCUGGGAAGAAGGCUCAAUGCUUCAGAAAGGUGAGUGAUACUUACUGCUCUUACAGAAAACUCUGCUUCAGUUCCUCCCACAUAGCUGCUCACAACUGCCCAUAGCAGUUGUAAGAGAUCUGAUGCCUUUUCUAGCUUCUGUGGUCACUCUUACAGUAUACAUAAACUUCUGCAAAGGCACACAUAUAUACAUAAAAAUAAAUGAAUACAUAAAUCACUUUUCAAAAACAUAUAGAAUAUAAAUUCAAGUAGGCUAUUUUUUUUACUUACUCAAUAAUAAAAAGGCCUAAAAUGUUUAAGCCUCAAGAGUGUAGUGGUGAUGUUAAUGAACAGUCUAAACAAGACAUUCUCAUUCCUACGUCACAGGCCAGGUUUACAUUGCCCUUCUCUGGGCACCAUGGAGAAGAGGUGGUGGGAAGUCCCACUGGCUUAACAGUCAUGUUUAUCAUCUAUGCUCAAAGUCCCUUGGCUGGAACGUUAGACCCAUGGCUUCACCUGCUCUAAUGGGAGUCCCCACUGGCACCCUCUCCUUGGGUGAUUCCAUACAGCAUAAAAGAGAGCACACAUUUCCUGUGAAGAGUGAGCUGUCUUGGCUACACUGUGAAUUUCUCCCCCAUGUAGAAAAGCUGAGGGCAAACAUUAAAGUCUAAAAUAUCUCGCCCAUCUCACAGUUUUGUUUCACUGUAUAUGAAAGCUUUGUUUUGCUUUACUUUGCUUUUAUUAAAGUGGCACCCAGAAUCAUCCAGCCAUGGACACUAAUAUAUCCUAAGAGAGCUGAGUAAUCAAAAAUGGCAGGUGUAAAGAGGUUGGCUUGAAGUGCCUGGCUAGUGAUGAUCUUCAAUAAAUCAUAGCCCUUACUAUUACUGUCCCCAUCCCUUCCUCCCACGAAAGCAUUUCACACUGCAAGGGUUAGCUGGCUCCUCUCUGCCUCUCAGCUAUCUGUUAUUCUACUAAUUAGCAGAUGUGCCUGGAGAUCAGAGCCAAGGGAGGGCAGGGAUUUGGUGCAGGGCUCUCCCUAGAAGAUGCAUCCUAUGGACACCAGCCACCCGAAGACACCUCUAAAGUUCACAGCAGAGACCUGGUCUGAUUUUCUGGUUCUCAAAUUUGUUAGCUAUAAAUACUAGUUCAGGUCCAGUAACUUCUUUCCCCUGAUCCUUAUUGGUUCCUCCCUGUAAAAUUUGAGGACUGGAGACUGGAAAGGUGACUUGGUGGUUUUGCUCUUGCAGAAGACUUGAGUUCAGUACCUGCUACUCCAGUGCCAAGAACUCAAACACCUUCUGGUCUCUACUAGCACCUGCACUUCUAUAUGCGUAUCCACACACAGACACAUAAUCACACACAUAAUUAAAAAGCAAAAGGUAAAUAUUUCUCCAAUAAAGGGAUUAGAUAUGAUCUACUUUCCAUUCAGCUGGACACCAAUAUGCAUACUUCCAUAGCUUGGGCAAUAGGUAGAGCCAUAAAUAAGCUAUACCAACUCCUUUUUGCCGCUUAGUUGAAAGCUUUAGUGGUCUAGGAGCUUGAUAGUAACGUUCCUUGCGUAGUAGUAAAUUUUCUACUUCUAUUAUAGUUUAUCUGGAAUGGGUACUUUAUUUAAUUUUUUUUUAAUUAUUUAACUCAGUUCUGAGGAUUCAAGGAGAUAGCACCAGAAAAUCCUCACAGUGCAUGCCACCUCAAUGGCCCACUGGAGAAUGAGUAAUAUCAUUGAAGUACAGAAGGGGGCAUCAGUGAGUUCCCCCUAAGCUUUAAAGGUCCCACCACUUCUCAACAUCCCCAACCUAAGAACCAUGCUCCCGACACAUGAGCUCCUGCAUGGCAAACUGCAUCUGAACUAUUUGCAGCACGCUGCACCUCCCCGGGGUCCUGACACCUGACUCCCAGAAGCUUUUCCAGUUUCUGUUUUUCAUGCCUCAAAGGAGCCAUGCAGCUGCUCGGUACUGUAGCAAUGGGUGUGGACACAAAUUCCCUUAAGAGGAGGGUAACAAGGGAGUCUUAGGUUCAAGGGAAUAAGGUCAUGGGCCACACAAGAUGAAGAUGGCCACAUGGGUCCCUAAAGACUUUUCUUGCCUGGCUUGUUUGUGGCCAAAUCACAUAUUGCAGGCUCACAUCAAGCACAUCAGACCUUUUGAAUAAAUUCUGUGCUAGCCAGCCUUUAUGGCAAAAUUCACAUAGACAGUGGCCAUAGCUUAGUGGUCAGAUGCAUAAGUACUGUAGUAUUACCUAGCUUCAUAUUCCAGCUUUCCCAACAAGAUGUGUGGUAAUGGAUUGAUAGUUGCAUGGAUAUGUUUGUGGGAAAGGAUGGAUGGAAAAAUGGAUAAAUGAAUGGAUGGAUGGAUGGAUGGAUGGAUGGAUGGAUGGAUGGAUUCAGAGAUUUAAAAAUCUUGUUACUUGCCUUCUGAGACUAAAAUUUACACUUCAUCUGUAAAAUAAUGAAAUGCAAUUUUUCUGUGAACUACAAUUACCCAGAAUAGCCAUAGACUCAGUGCAGAUUUUGCCCUAACCAUGUUGAGGGAUGUAUGAGCCCUUCAGAACCACUGUGCUUGUUUACAUUAUCAGCAGUGUGCAUACACACCAUCUCCUGGACACUGUAGGAGUCCUCCUCCAAUUGUAGUCUGAAAGUAAAUAAUAAAAAAAUUCCAGAAAUAAAUAGUUCACAGGCUUUAAGUUAUAUGCUGUUCUGAGUGGCAUGAUGGGAUCUCCUGUCAUCUGUCUCUAUCCUGCCCAGGACCUUCAUAAUCUUCUUAAAUGUAUUCUUACUAUAUGUACUAAUACAUUAGUGCCUUAGGAGCCCAGUUUUCAGAUCAACUGCCCUGGAGCAAGUAUAGUGUAUGAAGAUACUAUGGUGGGGAGUGGGGGAGGCUGUGUUUAGAUGUCAUCAUUUUACAGUAUCAGCAUAAAUGUUUCUAUUAUUAGAUACUAGUGUUAAUUUCUUACUAUGUCUAAUUUGUAAAUUAAACUUUGUCAUAAGUACAUACACAUAGGAGAAACCAUAGCACAUAUAAGAUCUGGCACUAUCCAAGCCAUUGAAGAGUUUAGGCAGCAUGGGAAGACAGAACAUGGAUUUUGCUUCAUUUUUUACUAGUGCAUUUUAAUGAGCUGGGCCUGAAUUUCUAUGACAUCUUCUCUGUUGGGGUGUUUUGUGUUAUCUAAACACACUCUCCUGUCCCUUUAUAUUAAAUGUAAUGUUUAUACAGUGAA